rnacentral:rRNA from 1 species
UACAGAGGUCCCGAGCGUUGUUCGGAUUCAUUGGGCGUAAAGGGUGCGUAGGCGGCGGGGUAAGUUUGAUGUGAAAUCCCGGGGCUCAACCCUGGAAUUGCAUUGAAUACUACCUUGCUAGAGUACCGGAGAGGAAACUGGAAUUUACGGUGUAGCAGUGAAAUGCGUAGAGAUCGUAAGGAAGACCAGUGGCGAAGGCGAGUUUCUGGACGGUAACUGACGCUGAGGCACGAAGGCCAGGGGAGCA